rnacentral:antisense_RNA from 1 species
GUCUGUACCACGAUUGCCGUCGUGGUACAGACCGUUCGAGAUAGAACGUUUCAGACUUUAGCGUGGAAUGAAACGAUUAAUAGGGGCAUUAUCAGCGG